rnacentral:misc_RNA from 1 species
AACGCACAUUGCGCCCCGUGGUAUUCCGCGGGGCAUGCCUGUUCGAGCGUCAUUUCAACCCAUCAAGCUUCGGCUUGGACUUGGGGCCUGCGGUUUCGCAGCCUCUAAACUCAGUGGCGGUGCUAUUGAGCUCUGAGCGUAGUAAUUUUUCUCGCUAUAGGGUCUCGGUAGUUACUUGCCAGUAACCCCCAAUUUUUAUCAGGUUGACCUCGGAUCAGGUAGGGAUACCCGCUGAACUUAA